rnacentral:rRNA from 1 species
AUUGAACGCUGGCGGCAUGCCUUACACAUGCAAAUCGAACGGUAACGGGCCUUCGGGUGCCGACGAGUGGCGAACGGGCGAGUAAUACAUCGGAACGUGCCCGAUCGUGGGGGAUAACGAGGCGAAAGCUUUGCUAAUACCGCAUACGAUCUACGGAUGAAAGCAGGGGACGGCAAGGCCUUGCGCGGACGGAGCGGCCGAUGGCAGAUUAGGUAGUUGGUGGGAUAAAGGCUUACCAAGCCGACGAUCUGUAGCUGGUCUGAGAGGAUGAUCAGCCACACUGGGACUGAGACACGGCCCAGACUCCUACGGGAGGCAGCAGUGGGGAAUUUUGGACAAUGGGCGCAAGCCUGAUCCAGCCAUGCCGCGUGCAGGAUGAAGGCCUUCGGGUUGUAAACUGAUUUUGUACGGAACGAAAAGCCUUCUUUUAAUACAGGAGGGUCAUGACGGUACCGGAAGAAUAAGCACCGGCUAACUACGUG